GCUUAACACAUGCAAGUCGUGCGAGAAAGUAUCUUCGGAUAUGAGUAGAGCGGCGGACGGGUGAGUAACGCGUAGGAAUCUACCUAGUAGAAGGGGAUAGCCCGGGGAAACUCGGAUUAAUACCGUAUACCUCCUUCGGGAGAAAGAAGGCCUCUCUUUGAAGCUUUCGCUAUUAGAUGAGCCUGCGUAAGAUUAGCUUGUUGGUGAGGUAAAGGCUCACCAAGGCUACGAUCUUUAGCUGGUCUGAGAGGACGAUCAGCCACAUUGGGACUGAGACACGGCCCAGACUCCUACGGGAGGCAGCAGUGGGGAAUAUUGGACAAUGGGCGCAAGCCUGAUCCAGCCAUACCGCGUGUGUGAAGAAGGCCUUCGGGUUGUAAAGCACUUUAAGCAGGGAGAAAAAGUUAUAGGUUAAUACCCUAUGGCCCUGAUGUUACCUGCAGAAUAAGCACCGGCUAAUUCCGUGCCAGCAGCCGCGGUAAUACGGAAGGUGCAAGCGUUAAUCGGAAUUACUGGGCGUAAAGCGCGCGUAGGUGGUUUGUUAAGUUGGAUGUGAAAGCCCUGGGCUCAACCUAGGAACUGCAUCCAAAACUAACUCACUAGAGUACGAUAGAGGGAGGUAGAAUUCAUAGUGUAGCGGUGGAAUGCGUAGAUAUUAUGAAGAAUACCAGUGGCGAAGGCGGCCUCCUGGAUCUGUACUGACACUGAGGUGCGAAAGCGUGGGUAGCGAACAGGAUUAGAUACCCUGGUAGUCCACGCCGUAAACGAUGACAACUAGCUGUUGGGAGACUAUGUCUU
rnacentral:rRNA from 1 species